GACGAACGCUGGCGGCGUGCUUAACACAUGCAAGUCGAACGGAAAGGCCCUGCUUUUGUGGGGUGCUCGAGUGGCGAACGGGUGAGUAACACGUGAGUAACCUGCCCUUGACUUUGGGAUAACUUCAGGAAACUGGGGCUAAUACCGGGUAGGAGCUCCUGCUGCAUGGUGGGGGUUGGAAAGUUUCGGCGGUUGGGGAUGGACUCGCGGCUUAUCAGCUUGUUGGUGGGGUAGUGGCUUACCAAGGCUUUGACGGGUAGCCGGCCUGAGAGGGUGACCGGCCACAUUGGGACUGAGAUACGGCCCAGACUCCUACGGGAGGCAGCAGUGGGGAAUAUUGCACAAUGGGCGGAAGCCUGAUGCAGCAACGCCGCGUGCGGGAUGACGGCCUUCGGGUUGUAAACCGCUUUCGCCUGUGACGAAGCGUGAGUGACGGUAAUGGGUAAAGAAGCACCGGCUAAGUACGUG
rnacentral:rRNA from 1 species